AUACUUACCUGGCAGGGGAGACACCAUGAUCAGGCAAGUGGUUUUCCCAGGGUGAGGCUCAUCCCUUGCACUCCGGGUGUGCUGUAUUUUUUUAUCUUUUACGAGGGCUGGAGCACCUCUCCUAUGAGGACAGGCUGAGAGAGAUGGCCUUGUUCAGCCUGGA
rnacentral:snRNA from 13 species